rnacentral:rRNA from 1 species
UGGGGAAUAUUGCACAAUGGGCGCAAGCCUGAUGCAGCCAUGCCGCGUGUGUGAAGAAGGCCUUCGGGUUGUAAAGCACUUUCAGCGGGGAGGAAGGCGUUAAGGUUAAUAACCUUGGCGAUUGACGUUACCCGCAGAAGAAGCACCGGCUAACUCCGUGCCAGCAGCCGCGGUAAUACGGAGGGUGCAAGCGUUAAUCGGAAUUACUGGGCGUAAAGCGCACGCAGGCGGUCUGUCAAGUCGGAUGUGAAAUCCCCGGGCUCGACCUGGGAACUGCAUUCGAAACUGGCAGGCUAGAGUCUUGUAGAGGGGGGUAGAAUUCCAGGUGUAGCGGUGAAAUGCGUAGAGAUCUGGAGGAAUACCGGUGGCGAAGGCGGCCCCCUGGACGAAGACUGACGCUCAGGUGCGAAAGCGUGGGGAGCAAACAGG